GUCUUUUUGAUUAUUUAUCACUGCACGAAUCGGUUUCAAACAAUAUUGUAGGCAGGCAUUUGCUGCAAUCUUCCGUUAUUAUGUGCUGGUGGGGUUUAUUUUAGUUUGGAAUCAAAAAGGUUUUUCUUUUUCAUAUAUAAGUUGAUGAUUGAACAAUGGUUUAGUUUGUAUUAUACAUGAAUAAGCUUUUUUGUUAUUUAUGCUAGCGGAUGAUUUGAGUAUAUCUACAGGUUACUAAUUUCAGUAGUUGGACUUUGAAACUCUAGCCUUUAUCUGAUUCUUAUUGUAUCGUUGUUUAUCAUGCUUGCAACUUCAAUUCUUUAUGGUGAUAUACCCUAUGAUUGAACCCUUAAACGAAUGAUCAAUGAUCCACUUCAUAUGUUUCAAGGAUGCAGCCUCCUGUAGUAGCUACUUGUAUAGAGGAUGAAAUGUCGGAUGUCAUGCAAUAUCCAAAUCACUUUGCUAUGAGUUAUAAUGAAUUCACAACUAUGGUUGGAGCUCAGAAGGUGUUUGCAUGAUCCUGUUAGUGUUAUUUAUAAAGAAAAAAUUCGUGUUGUCAUACCUGAUAUAACUAACACUUGCCGAAAGGAAUCAAGCAAUCACGUAAGAAGAUCACCAGGUGGUUCUUCGUCAAGAGCUAAGUGCCUAUACGAAAGCCGUAUAAGAUGUGAUACUAUAUCAUUUAUUAAUGUGCAGGUUUGCUUUUCAAGUAUUAUCGACGAUUUACAAUUUCAAUGGUUAAGUUGAAACCCAUACCGAUAGAAAAUUUCUAUUUGGUAUUGUUGUCAGUUAACCUAUAUAUAAGUUAUGAGCCAAAACGAGUUUAUUCAGGUUCAUGAGGCCUAACGGGUUUCUGCGACAAAUUUUAAAUUUAUAAAGAGCUGACCAUGUAUGUACAGUGGACAAACCCGUCCUGCGACAUUAUGUUGACCAUAUUUCUGGGACAUUUAGGACAGGAUGUUACAACCAGAGAUAUAUGUAUUACAUUUAGGACAAAAUUUUGAGUUUACGAAGUAAAAUACACAACAAAUCAGUUGCGUAAAAUUGCUGCAAAAUAGUUUCCCUAGCCAGUUGGUCAAUUUAAACAACAUGGUAAGUUUUUAAAAACGAGCACCAACACUUUUUUAUUUCAUCAUUUUAAUCUUAUGCUUAAAAACUUUUUUAUUCGUGAGCUGCAUUGUUUUUAAAAUUCUACUAAAUGGGUCAAAGUAGCCAACUUUUUAGAACGUGGCAAUCGAUUCGUUUUAUUAAGUAGGUCACGCAGGUCCCUUUCAUUGUACAAGUAAAACAAUCAUAUUUUCAGAAAUGGGUCUAAUGUCAUUAAAUGGCCAGGUUUCUUACACGGGUUAGCUUGGUCACCUUUAAUAAGCUGAUGAGAUGUUGGGUCAAACGAGUCUAGCUUUAUAGAACCAGCCAAUCGAUUUGUUUUUUUAGAUGGCUCAAGCAGAUCAAUUUUAUUAAAAAGGUAAGUAAAACACUCAUCUUUUCUUAAAUGAGUCGCGUGGGUUAUUUUCAUUAAACGGACAGUUUUUUACAAGGGCCAACUGGGUCAAUUUUAAUAGGCUGAUGAGUUUUUAUAAAAGAGUAUUUUUUUUAACGAAGCUCGAACCAGUGACAGGUCAGUUUUAAGCUGGUACAUUUUUAUUAGUGGUCACUAACACUUUUGAUUUAUUCCAUCAUUUUUUGUGUCUGUGCCGCAUAGUUCUUAAGUUUUUAUUACAUGGGUCGAACGGGUCAGCUUUAUAGAAUAGGUCAACUGAUUCGCUUUUAUUAAAAGGCUCAAGUGGGCCAGUUUUAUUAAAUGGGUUGGAAGAUCAUUUUCUCUUAAACGUCGAAUGGGUUUCUAUAAACCGGGUCAACAGGGAAAGUUUUCCUACACAGGCCAACUAGAUCAGUUUCUGUAACUUGGUGGGUUUUUAUAAACGUCUAGAGUAGUUUUAAGAUUGAGGGCAUCCAAGCACCUACGCGAUUGCGUAAAAUACAAAUGAAUUAUGGUUAAUAAACAUUGAAUUAGAUAAUGGUUGCUAUUAGUUUUUUUUUUUUGUUGGGAAUUGCUAAUGCAUAGAGAAGGUGGGAUAGACUUGAUUCUGAGGUACAUGAAAUCAUUGUUGGGUGUUCGAUCUAUAUCUACUAGGCUUAAAUUUAUUUAUAUCAAAAUCAACAUACACUCAAGGAGCCUUGAGAUGAUUUAUUGUUUAUUCUUGAGAUAAUAUGGUAGUUGUUCGUUUUGCAUGAUGUUUUUUGUUUUGCAGGAAACGUCUCUUAGACACUAAAGGCAUGGCGAUAUUUAGCUUUUCGUUUUAAAUGUGUUUGUGUAGGAUGUUAUCUAAAUUAAUCAGUCCCGAUGCAACCAAUUUAUGUAUCAAAGGUGUCGCUUGCGGCUGGGAGUUACAUCAUGUAACUGAUCUAUCUUCUCAUUGGCUAUUAUUUGUUCAACCGUCUAUUUUCCAACCACUAUUGCAGCAGCCCUAUGAACAACAAUUUUAUUCACAAAUCCAAUGAUUCCUUCAGACAAUUUGUACCGGAGAAGAACAUGUGGAACAACAACUUUAAGCUUCAUUGAGGCAUAUGGUCGCAUACUGUGCAGCUUAAUAUCUCCGAUUUCAACUUGUAUUAGAAUAGAAGAUUUGCCCAAAUACAAUAGAUCAACAAUAAAUCGCAAGCUCAAAAGCUUUUACAAGCACAUAUAGCUUCAAUGAGCAACAACAGUCAAUGAGGGAGCACGACGUAAUAUUAAGGUAAAGCUUGCGUAUCAUCAGUUACAACAACUACGGCAGAAAGAAGAAACAACUUAGGUGACUUUAAUUCAUUUCACUUGGAUGUGGUGCUAAUAUGCCUUUGCAGAUGAUUUAGUUUCUUGUGUUUCUUUUCCUUUUUGCUUCCCUUGGUGUAUUGUGGCGAGCUUCUGGCUUGUAGCUUUUUAUGGGUUAAUAAAAAUGGUGUUUUGUUUGCCAAACGUA